rnacentral:rRNA from 1 species
AUGACAUCGCUGCUGAAGCCACCGAACACCAUUGUUCGGACAGUCUCGGAUCUUAUAGAUCCCGAGAACUGGUCAUGGAGGCAGGAGUUGAUUCGAACCACCUUCAUUGCCCCUGAUGCUGAUGCCAUUCUAAACAUCCCAAUCAGGAGGGGCGGAGGUGAGGAUUUCUAUGCUUGGGCCUUUGAAAGAUCAUGCAACUACACUGUUAAGUCGGCAUACGGUGCUCUAGUGACUCAGAACGAGCGCAAUGCUCUAGAGGAAGGGGCGGCUACCGGUGCUUCAAGAGAUGACAAACAGAUGUGGUCUGCUCUGUGGAAACUCAAAGUGAUCCCAAAGGUACGAGUGUUC